rnacentral:rRNA from 1 species
UCAGUGAUCGAUGUCUCGGCUCGAGCAAUGAUGAAGGGCGCAGCGAAGUGUGAUAAGCAUUGUGAAUUGCAGGAUUCCGUCAGCCAAUAGGGACUUGAACGUACACUGUGCUUUCGGGAUAUCCCUGAAAGCAUGCCUGCUUCAGUGUCCAGCCACCU